GCCCCGGUAGUUCAACGGAUAGAACAACGGCCUUCUAAGCCGUGGAUCUAGGUUCGAUUCCUAGCCGGGGUACCA
rnacentral:tRNA from 1 species